rnacentral:rRNA from 1 species
UGGGGUAUAUUGCAUAAUGGGCGAAAGCCUGAUGCAGCGACGCCGCGUGGGGGAUGAAGGCUUUCGGGUUGUAAACCUCUUUCGCUAUCGAACAAGGCCCGCUUAGGGUGGGUUGAGGGUAGGUGGUGAAGAAGCGCCGGCUAACUACGUGCCAGCAGCCGCGGUAAUACGUAGGGCGCGAGCGUUGUCCGGAAUUAUUGGGCGUAAAGGGCUUGUAGGCGGCUUGUUGCGCCUGCUGUGAAAACGCGGGGCUUAACUUCGCGCGUGAAGUGGGUACGGGCAGGCUUGAGUAUGGUAGGGGUGACUGGAAUUCCAGGUGUAGCGGUGGAAUGCGCAGAUAUCUGGAGGAACACCGAUGGCGAAGGCAGGUCACUGGGCCAUUACUGACGCUGAGGAGCGAAAGCAUGGGUAGCGAACAGG